rnacentral:lncRNA from 1 species
GGGGAUCAAGAUCAAGUCAAGAGUUGAAGACGAUCAAACCAAUUGACGUGCAUGUGCUUGUAAAAUGACCCCAUCCUGGAUCCAUGACCAUCAUCAUUUAAAUUUUAUUUGUUGAUAAAUGCCUGGAUGUUUAAUGCUUAUGUCUAUGCGGGUAGAUAUAUAUUUACAUGAGAUGUGAAUAGUCGAUCGAGAUAGACCUAAAUACAAAUCUCCCCAAUCAGUCGAGAGUGAACCAACAUGAGCUAGUCAUAUUAGAUUAAUUGAUCUAAUUGGUGUCUAGGCAAGCCUAAAAGAUGGUUACUUAAUUAGGACCUUACUCUCCGAGUAAGGAGAGCCUUCCACCUGCUUACCUAGCCAAUUGUUCGAUUACCUCUUAUGAAGAACUCAAGUUGCAAACAUUAAGACAUGAUUUCACAAUAUUAAGUCCAUAGGUCUUCCACCGUAGUAGAGCUGCUAAGGUCUUUCCAGUGUUGAUUUGUCUCGGCUGGACACAGUGGACAAGUUGCAUCGGGGGGCUAGAUCUCUCUAUUAGACAUGAGAUGUUGCGGAGUAAAUGUGGGGUUGGGCACCAAUAACUGUUAGGUGAGGACCCAAUGACGACUUUAUUUCUGCGGUUAUACGGUGGGUCUGACUUAACUAAGUAAUGGGGCCAAUAACUGUUAGAUGAUGUCUUCAUGACUUAGAGACCAAGUACCACUGCAAUUUGCUUGAGAAGCAUUGUACAAGAGUUGUACACUCAUCCAUUUAUAUGUCACCAAUAACUGUUAGGUGAGGCGGCAUGUAAAUCGGUGAGACCGCAGUACCCACUAGAAACCCUAGUCGCAUAGGGUUUUCGUUUCUCCAUCAGGGGAGAAUAGGGAUUCGAGAAAAUAGUGAGAGUGCAAUUAUUCUAAAAGACCCUAGAAUAAAUUAAGAUCAAGUACAAAGUCUAACUAGAAUCUUCACUCUCUACAGAUCACAAUAUUAGCUUCAAAUCCUUUGACCCGUAUUCUUGAGACCAACCGACUGACCGGAACCAAUUACAAAGACUGGCUUAGAAACCUGAAAAUUGUUCUAAGUUGCGAGAAAAUAUGGAUGUACUCGAGAAUGAUAUCCCCAGGUUACCAUCACGUCCGACCGAUGAACAGCGUGAGACGCAUGAAAAAUGGACGGAUGAUGACGAUAGGGUCAAGUGCUACAUCAUGGCAUCCAUAACUAAUGAACUUCAAUGCCAGCAUGAUAAUAUAGAAGACUG